GACGUAGGGCGCGAGCGUUGUCCGGAUUUAUUGGGCGUAAAAGGCUUGUAGGUGGGCACGCCAAGUCGGAUGUGAAAUCUCCCGGCUCAACUGGGAGGGGUCAUUCGAUACUGGCGGGCUCGAGGCCGGUAGGGGGAAGUGGAAUUCCCGGUGUAGUGGUGAAAUGCGUAGAUAUCGGGAGGAACACCAGUGGCGAAGGCGACUACCUGGCCUGUUCUUGACGCUGAGGCGCGAAAGCUAGGGGAGCAAACGGG
rnacentral:rRNA from 1 species